CUUAUCCAAAAAAAAGGAGGCUAGUCUCUAAGGUUAAAAAGAAAAUACGGCGUUGCAUUACUUUUUCCAUGUGUAUAUAUUCAUUGAUUUUGAAAUACAAAACACAUAAAAAAAAAUCAUGAUUUAGAAAGUUCCACCAUCAUUAUAUAUAUAUAUAUAUAUUAGACGGCAUGCAAAAACGUGAAAAAGACACCACAGUACUGACAGUGACAAAUGGGCGUCUAACGUUCAGUGUCAAAUAUUGUGUACAAAAAUGGAGGAAAUCUGAUAGAAAGAUAUAGGAAAUGUGAUAUGAUAGUCAAAUUGACAACUCACAGGACUUUCAUGAGUAGUCAAUGUUGUUAAACACACCCGUAGAAGCAAUGGGCUGUCACUAUUUGACCUUCAACCAAGAACAAACCACAAACAAUAAAGAUUGCAUGCUAUUAAAAUCCAAAC
rnacentral:lncRNA from 1 species